GAAGUCCUUUUGAUCAAUGCAAACCCCUGUGAAAAGAGUAACAUUCAAUCCCGAAAGCCUUUGGGCAAUGGCUUUAGCAGAUCCUUUCUUCUGUGGCAGGAGAGGUAGCUUGGGAGCACUGAGGGCCUAGGAAGGAAUAGGGCCAUUGGGAGCCAGCAGAGAGCUGAAGACCAAAUAUACCAGCUCCCUGAAAUUGCCCAGCGCCAGCUUUGCUAAGAAGGCUAGAGCAGGAUGAGGUUUGAUGCCGGAAGGGGUAUACAGGCCUUUUUGAGAGGAGACAGAUAUACGGCAGAAGUAGAGAAUUCCUGGGGGACAAAACUCCUGGCUUCCUUAAAAAAAAUAGAUUUUUAUUGCUAUCUUGUGUUUUUAUCUACCUGCCCUAGAUUUCCCUCUGUAUUCUACCCCCUUCCUCCCAGAGAGCCGUCUCUAAAAACGAAGAAAAAAAUUUUUAGCAAAACCACUCAAAUCAUUAAAAAACAACAACAACAAAAAAAAAAACCCCCCAAUAACAAUCAUAGUCUGGAAGCCUCCUUUCAGCUUCUGCAAAGGAAGUAUCUUCUCUUAUCUUUGUAAUUUUGCAACAUUCAUUUUUGAUUGUUCUGUGGUGGGUCUCACCAUUUACAUUGUUGCAAUCAUUGUGUGCAUUGUUUUCUGGCUCUUUACUCCUCUCUGCAUUAGUUUAUGUAAGUCUUUCCUUGCUUCUCUGUAGUUGGCUUCUUUGAGGUUUCUUAGAGCACCAUAGUAUUCCAUUACAUUCAUAUACCACGAUUUGUUUUACUCUUUCCCAAUUGAUGGACGUCUGUUUGGUUUCUCUGCUGUCACAAAAGAUGCUGCUGUAAUCUUUUUUUUCUGUACAUGGGGCUAUUUAUGUCACUGACUGCCUUGGGGUGUAUGUCUAGCAGUAGAACCUCCGAGUCCAAGGCUGUGGACAGUUUGGCUACUUUAUUUCCUCCUGCCUGUCUUCCUGAUGGAGCUAGCAAGGUUUCAGCAGACCCUGUUCUGACCGGCAGAGGCUGCCAGGAGUUUACUGAAAGCCCUCCAGCUGAGUACACAGCCCCCGGGGAGCAGGAAUGGGCAGAGGGGCAGCUGAACCCCAGCCAGCGCUGCUGGGAAGAAGACGGAGGAGAGAGCACAGGGGCGUCCAGCACGUCUGCCACUAACAGGGGGGAGCCCGGCAGCUGGCUUGCAGCUGUUUCUUAGCUCCAAGGAGCCUCGCCUCUGGAAUGAUCCUUUGCAGUGGCUUGGGCAACCCGGGCCAAGGAGCUUGCAGCCUCAGAGGUGGUGAGGCUUCAGUGGAGAAGGACAGGGCAAGUUCUGAGGUAGCAUGGAACGUCGUCACCCUCCACUGAGUGUCCUUGAAAGCUUGUCAGCCUGCUGAGGUUGGGGGUUUUUUCCCUCUGUCCUCUAAGAAUCAAGGUCCUGGUCCUCCCCUCUUCUUGCCCAAGUGACCUCGGGGCCACCUCUCUGGUUCCUGACGCCUCUUUGUGCCCUUCUCCACACACCCCAUCCCACUUGGGGAGCUUCUGUUCUGGUUGGAAUCCUUGGUUUCCCCAGGGGGACAGAGCAAGCUCCCCUACAGCAGGGGAGGGAGGGACAGCCUCAGAGUCUGCCCAUGAGCCACAAGGACCCCGGCUGCCCCAGACUGGACUAUUCCAAAUCACCAAAGAGGAGGUUUCCCAGAGCUGGUCCCCAGCAAUCCCGAGGGACUAGAGGGCUAGGAUGGACUGACCUCCCCCUCAGUGGGGGGGCUGGAGACGCACAGCCCCUGUGGCCCAGCUAGUGGCAGGUCCGGAGGAAGCUGCCACCAGAGUCUCAGUGGCAGGAAGCCACAAUUGCCUGAUUUGUUUUCUCUCACCUCUGAGGGAGAGAAGGGGGUUUCCCCCCCGUUGGCCUCUCCCUUCCUUAUCGCGGCUUGGGCCUCUAUGCUCUUUCUUUGUGGAGCCAGACCAGGUGGGCAGCGCUGGGGCCAGCUGGUGAGGGAGGGACCCCGGUGACCCCCGCCCCCACAGGGGGUC
rnacentral:lncRNA from 1 species